UAGGGAAUCUUCCGCAAUGGGCGAAAGCCUGACGGAGCAACGCCGCGUGAGUGAUGAAGGUCUUCGGAUCGUAAAACUCUGUUAUUAGGGAAGAACAAAUGUGUAAGUAACUAUGCACGUCUUGACGGUACCUAAUCAGAAAGCCACGGCUAACUACGUGCCAGCAGCCGCGGUAAUACGUAGGUGGCAAGCGUUAUCCGGAAUUAUUGGGCGUAAAGCGCGCGUAGGCGGUUUUGUAAGUCUGAUGUGAAAGCCCACGGCUCAACCGUGGAGGGUCAUUGGAAACUGGAAAACUUGAGUGCAGAAGAGGAAAGUGGAAUUCCAUGUGUAGCGGUGAAAUGCGCAGAGGUAUGGAGGAACACCAGUGGCGAAGGCGACUUUCUGGUCUGUAACUGACGCUGAUGUGCGAAAGCGUGGGGAUCAAACAGG
rnacentral:rRNA from 1 species